GACGAACGCUGGCGGCGUGCCUAAUACAUGCAAGUAGAACGCUGAAGGAGGAGCUUGCCCUUCUGGAUGAGUUGCGAACGGGUGAGUAACGCGUAGGUAACCUGCCUGGUAGCGGGGGAUAACUAUUGGAAACGAUAGCUAAUACCGCAUAACAGUAGAUGUUGCAUGACAUUUACUUAAAAGGUGCAAUUGCAUCACUACCAGAUGGACCUGCGUUGUAUUAGCUAGUUGGUGGGGUAACGGCUCACCAAGGCGACGAUACAUAGCCGACCUGAGAGGGUGAUCGGCCACACUGGGACUGGGACACGGCCCAGACUCCUACGGGAGGCAGCAGUAGGGAAUCUUCGGCAAUGGACGGAAGUCUGACCGAGCAACGCCGCGUGAGUGAAGAAGGUUUUCGGAUCGUAAAGCUCUGUUGUAAGAGAAGAACGAGUGUGAGAGUGGAAAGUUCACACUGUGACGGUAUCUUACCAGAAAGGGACGGCUAACUACGUG
rnacentral:rRNA from 1 species